rnacentral:ncRNA from 1 species
ACCUGUCCGCGUGGCGAUUUGCACCUUGCUUGCGGGCCACGUUAAACAUGCCGCUAAACAGGUCGAGGACGCCCCCAC